rnacentral:rRNA from 1 species
AGAGUUUGAUCCUGGCUCAGGAUGAACGCUAGCUACAGGCUUAACACAUGCAAGUCGAGGGGAAACGAUAUUGGAAGCUUGUCUUCCGAUAGGCGUCGACCGGCGCACGGGUGAGUAACGCGUAUCCAACCUGCCCACCACUUGGGGAUAACCUUGCGAAAGUAAGACUAAUACCCAAUGAUAUCUCUAGAAGACAUCUGAAAGAGAUUAAAGAUUUAUCGGUGAUGGAGUGGGGAUGCGUCUGAUUAGCUUGUUGGGCGGGUAACGGCCCACCAAGGCGACGAUCAUAGGGGUUCUGAGAGGAAGGUCCCCCACAUUGGAACUGAGACACGGUCCAAACUCCUACGGGAGGCAGCA